rnacentral:rRNA from 1 species
CGUAGCCGCGGUAAUACCGAGGGUGCGAGCGUUAAUCGGAUUUACUGGGCGUAAAGCGUGCGUAGGCGGCUUUUUAAGUCGGAUGUGAAAUCCCUGAGCUUAACUUAGGAAUUGCAUUCGAUACUGGGAAGCUAGAGUAUGGGAGAGGAUGGUAGAAUUCCAGGUGUAGCGGUGAAAUGCGUAGAGAUCUGGAGGAAUACCGAUGGCGAAGGCAGCCAUCUGGCCUAAUACUGACGCUGAGGUACGAAAGCAUGGGGAGCAAACAGGAUUAGAUACCCCGGUAGUCCCUGUCUCUUAUACA